rnacentral:rRNA from 1 species
AUAAGGGAAUAAAGUGUGGGACGUGUCCUAUUUUGUAUGUACCUUAUGAAUAAGGAUCGGCUAACUCCGUGCCAGCAGCCGCGGUAAUACGGAGGAUCCGAGCGUUAUCCGGAUUUAUUGGGUUUAAAGGGUGCGUAGGCGGCCUUUUAAGUCAGCGGUGAAAGUCUGUGGCUCAACCAUAGAAUUGCCGUUGAAACUGGGGGGCUUGAGUAUGUUUGAGGCAGGCGGAAUGCGUGGUGUAGCGGUGAAAUGCUUAGAUAUCACGCAGAACCCCGAUUGCGAAGGCAGCCUGCCAAGCCAUGACUGACGCUGAUGCACGAAAGCGUGGGGAUCAAACAGGAUUAGAUACCCUGGUAGUCCACGCAGUAAACGAUGA